AUGCCAAACCACAGUGGGAGUUUAGAGAAGACUGUGAUGAGAGUUGGAGCAUUCUUGGGGAGUCUUUGCUGCAGAGAUGGGACUUUAUGCAUCAGUACAUUCUUAAAGUGUCUACGCUGCCCCGGGAUGCUGAGCCCCUGGACACCACAGGUGGCAUUUCAGCUAUGAGUGAGGGGGGGCAUUUGGAAGGGGAGCCCCGAAGGGGAAGACAAUGGCUCAGAGAGAAUGAAGUCAGCACUUCCCAGCCUCUGUGUGCUGCGGUCCAAGGCUUCGGCCGGGAGCACUGCAGAGCAAAAGUUCUGAGAGCCACGGCUCAGGCUUAACUGGCCAGAGCGAGCUUGGCAGCUGCUCUCGUCCCAGCAGGCUUUGCUCUCUGAGGCAGUCAUUCCCACCACACAAAGGCAGUUCUGUGCCUCCCAAAGGUGCUUGGGGCAGGAAUGAAGAGCGGAACAGCCCCCAUCAAUCCAAUAGGAUUGUCGUUUUACGCUGGCGUGGAGCCUCAGACAUCAAAAGGGCUGGAGAGUGAAGCCACGUGUGAGCCGUGAAGUUGGUGACCCUGAGGCACAGAAAGCUGAGGGAAUUUGUUCGAAGUCACACAGCUGGGUCCUUGCAGAUGUAAUCGGGUGAAGAUGGGUUCAUAUUGGAUUGGAGUGAGUCAUAAUCCACUGUGACUGGUGUCUUUAAAAGAAAAGGACACACGGAAAUUCAGAGACAGAAAGACCCACAGGGAGAAUGCCAUGUGAUGACAGAGGCAGAGACUGGAGUGAUGGGUCUAUAGCCAACGGACACCAAAGACUCUCAUCCACCAGAAGCUGGAAGAGGCAAGAAGUGGAAAAGCAUUUGGGAGGAAGUGGAACCAAAGCAGAUCCUAUCCAAGGUGAAUGGCAAGCAGCUAUAUGAGGAUGGCCUUGCUCCCAGCCGGAUCUCCCAUCCUCAAGAAGGCCAGCCCAGGCUUCAUCACACAGCAGUGGAAGAGUUCUGAUUUAAGAGAAGAAGAGUGGAAGCUGCAGGUCCUGUUGAGACCUGGACUAGGAAGACACACAAUGCCACUUCUGCCACAUUCUAGUUGUCAUUUCUGGUUGUGAAAGCAAGUCCCAGGGCCAGUCAAGAUUCAAGGAAAGGGUUUGGGAGCAGAGAGAACAAAAGAUCCCACAUGGGUCUUCAAUUCUAAGCCACAUGUUCCUGAUUUGGAGUCUACAGGGCUUGCAAAACUGACAGUCAUGCCAUUGGUGUGUACAUGCUCUCUUGAAGACCUCAUGGAGAGCACAAAUGAUUUGCUGGAUCACCUUCACAUACCACCUCCUCCAGGAAGCAUGACCUGAUUGACCCUCAGUUGUGUGUGAACUUUCUUCCUUUCAACCCCCAUGGUGGUCCCAGUCAGAGACUGAUUUCCCUGAGGUUGCCAGAAAGCAAGAUACUAGCAGCAAGAAGAUCCCAACCCUGGGUGCCCUCCCUCCAACCCACAUCUCGCCAGUUGCUGCUAUUGGAGCGUCAGGAAUCCUGGCUGAAUAGUUUCUCUGUCUCACAUGGCAUUCAUGGAAGCAUUCACUGGUGUUCACUGGACCAUGCAGAUCUGGACAGCAUGUGGUGGCUGCAUUUUUGUGUCUGUUUCCUUGUUGAGCAUGGCUGGAAAGUGAGAUCAGCUAGAACCAUUGACCAAAGUGCUUAUGCAUGGGUUUUUCAGCAUGGUGACCUCAAGGUGGUCAGAGCUUUUAAAUGGGAGCUCGGAGCUCCCAGAGUGAAAAUUCCAAGAGACGCAGGAGGCAAUGGGAAGAUCCUGAUGCUAACUUCGGCUCUCCUGUUAGCCCACUGUGUGUACAUGAGGGAACCUCUUUAAAUCUCCACACCUCAGAACUUCUGCAGUGAUGGAUGUGUUCCACGGUUGUCAAAGUGUGGUCCCCAAACCAGCAGCAUCAACUUCACCUGAAAAUGUGUUAGAAUAGUCAAUUAUCAGGCCCCACCUCACAACCAUUGAAUCAAACAUCUUGGGUGGGACCCAGCAAUUUGUAUUUAACCAAGCCCAUAAGGUGAUUCUGAUGUGUGUAAGGGUUAAAGAAGCCCUGGGGUUGGUUCCUUUCAGCCGACUUUCUGUGAUUCUAACUACAGAAGCACCCUUUCAUGCCACAUGACCAGAACUAAUAGCCAAUUAAUUGAAAAAAUUAAUUAAAAUUAAGAAAUGCUACUUACAUUUGUGAAACUUUUAAUUUUAACGAAAGGAAGUCAAUCUUUCGAUGUAGGGUCAAGGCCUUUCUUUGAGUGUGAGUCUGCUGGUUGGAUUUCUAUGACAGCUUUUUUGCAUAACCCAUAUCUUUAAUGCAUGAUCUAAGAUUUUUAGGUUUUUACAAGCAGAGUAAGAACUAAAGACUUUACAAAGGAAUCUGAACAGUUCAUCUGAGUGACUCAUCUUUCUUGACUAUUUCUGAAUAUCUGACUUGGUUUACAUAACAAUGCAUUUGUAAUAUUUAAUUACAUUAAAUCAUUGCAAUGACAAUAAUUACUGGAAUAAACAAGUUUGGGAACAAAGUCAACUGAUGGAAACAGAAGGCUUGGGACACUGGGUGGUUUUCUACUCAUCACAAGCAUCACUUGGCCAUGGAUGUCAACUGUUUUAAGGACAGCAGGGAGAAUACUGGUAUAUGUGGAGAGUUGGUUGAGUGGACAUUGAGUAAGAGAGCUUCUCCUGCACUGCUGGUUCUUCCUAACCAGAAUUCUUGUCUUCUUCCCUCUUUUUUAUUGCAUCCUUGACACAUGUUUAAUUCAAGCCCUUUUCACCUAACCCUGAACUAUUACAAAAGCACACUAUGUGGUCUCAUCGUCUCCACACUUACCUCCUGGUGUCUGCAUAAAUUCAUGCUUACAAAAGCCAUGCCAUUCCCAUUCUCAGCAGGGUAGAAUGAAAAGAACACUGGAUUUAGAAGCUAAGGACCUGAUUGGGUCUUAAUCUACUAUUUCUAGUUGUGUGCCAUUGGAUAACUCAGUCAACUUCUCCAAGCUCUUUCCCUCAAGCAAAGAUAGAGCAACUAGUGCUACACACACUUCAGAGGGGAUCUUGAAGAUCAAGAGGACUUAAAUAGGUGAAAAUGUUUUGAAACCUGAAUAGAACUCUACAAUUCUAAGUUGUUUCUUUCCUUACUGUGUGAUAACGCUCAGUCUUUUCAGCCUAGCACCCAACAAUCUAGUUCUAGCUUAUCUUCUCAGCUUCUUUCUCAAAGAUCCUAGAAGUGUACUUCUCACCCUAGCAAGACUGUUCUACUCAAGCUCCCAUGCACAGACCUAAGUUUUCUUUUCCUUUUUUAUUAUAAUUUAAGUUUUAGGGUACAUGUGCACAACGUGCAGGUUAGUUACAUAUGUAUACAUGUGCCAUGUUGGUGUGCUGCACCCAUUAACUCGUCAUUUAACAUUAGGUAUAUCUCCUAUUGCUAUCCCUCCCCUCUCCCCCCACCCCACAACAGGCACCAGUGUGUGAUGUUCCCCUUCCUGUGUCCAUGUGUUCUCAUUGUUCAAUUCCCACCUAUGAAUGAGAACAUGCGGUGUUUGGUUUUUUGUCCUUGCGAUAGUUUGCUGAGAAUAAUGGUUUCCAGCUUCAUCCAUGUCCCUAAAAAGGACAUGAACUCAUCAUUUUUUAUGGCUGCAUAGUAUUCCAGGAUUGUAAAUCAUGCUGCUAUAAAGACACAUGCACACGUAUAUUUAUUGUGGCACUAUUCACAAUAGCAAAGACUUGGAACCAAGCCAAAUGUCCAACAAUGAUAGACUGGAUUAAGAAAAUGUGGCACAUAUGCACAGACCUAAGUUUUCUAUGUCUAUGCCUUUGGCCACUGUCCCCUAAAAUGUCUUUUUCCUUUUCUAUAACUGGGUUGGUCUACCUCCAUUUGCGUGGACGUUUCCAUGAGACACAGACUCACAAAGAUUGGGCAGAAUACAAGUAAGUCAAAGCAAGCUACCUCCUGGCCUCUGAAGACCAAGUGGAGAAGAAAACAGGUUUCUAACCAAAGAAGAAAGUUCUGAGUUAUAAUUUCUCAGCACUCUAGGCAAGGUGCAGCACACCUUGACAGUUAGAGAAGAGUAUUUCAUCUUGAAAACCUGCAGCUCACCAGUGAAGUAACAUCCUUUCUUGUUUCAUUGGACGAGACGGCACACUUGUCAGUGGAACUUAGAAGAUGCAGCAGUAACAACAUAAACUAGGUAUAUGCCGAACCCUAUCAGGUCAUCUAUUCUGUAGUCAUCUGGUGGUUGGGAUUAUUCUUAGUGAGACAAGCUAGGCAUCAAAAGGCUGAACAGCUCAAAUACCAAGUAAGACUCAAAUCCUUUUCCUAUGUAUAUAUUAAAAGCUGGUCACACUCUUAGACUUUAAACAUGGCACUGAAAUCUAGGAUUCCAUUCGGGUGCAAGCAACAGAAAACCUAAGAGAGGCCUUCGUAAAUAAGGGGUCAAUUUAUGCAGUGCGACAUGAGCUUUGGAAAUAGGUGGUCCUCACGUGCAGCUGCUCAAAUAGGCCACUGAAGGCUCAGACCCCUUCUCUCUCUUCCUGCUUCAUCAUCUUUCAUAUCUUUAGCUUUUAUUUUCCAUUGCAGGGUGGCUGCUGUGCCUUCAGGCAUCGGAUCACGUUCCAGGUGGUAAGAAGGGAGAGGGCAAAUUGGCAGAGCAGAUGACACUGAGCCUGUUCCUUUCCUUGAAGCGGGCUAUGUUUACCCAUAGUUCAUAUCUGGCAUCUUUUAUAAUUGGUGGUUAUUUAUUUAUUUUUAAUAUUACCCUUGCUUAAAAGCCCCACCUGCUAACUUCUGCUUUAUCUCAUCAUCUAGUUCUGGGUUACAUAGACACCCUUGCCUGGGAUAGAGUUGGAAAUUGAGUGUUUUUACUUGGGUGCACUGCCACCCUCAAACAGGUUUGAGAUUCUGUCAAAGAGAAGACAACAACAGAUACUGAGCAGGCAAUUAAUCGUCUGCCAUAAUGCUUAAUUCAAACUUGUGUAUUAUUCUAAAUUGCACCACUUGGCUUUAUAUUUAAAG
rnacentral:lncRNA from 10 species